UCCCUGGUGGUCCAGUGGUUAAGAACCCUCCUUGUGAUGCAGGGAACAAGGGUUCGAUCCCUGUCCAGGGAA
rfam:TPA: Bos taurus chromosome 15, whole genome shotgun sequence.